GGAUUGAGGCUCAGUGGUAGAGUGCUUGCCUUGCACACAUGAGGCACUGGGUUUGAUCCUCAGCACUACA
rnacentral:tRNA from 1 species